rnacentral:rRNA from 1 species
AAGUAAUCUACCUUCGAGUGGGGAAUAACGUUCGGAAACGAACGCUAAUACCGCAUAAUGCAGCGGCAUCGCAAGAUGACAGUUGUUAAAGAUUUAUCGCUUGAAGAGGAGCUUGCGGCAGAUUAGCUAGUUGGUAAGGUAAUGGCUUACCAAGGCAACGAUCUGUAUCCGGUCUAAGAGGACGGUCGGACACACUGACACUGAAUAACGGGUCAGACUCCUACGGGAGGCAGCAGUCGGGAAUUUUGGGCAAUGGGCGAAAGCCUGACCCAGCAACGCCGCGUGAAGGAUGAAGUUUUUCGGAAUGUAAACUUCGUAAGAAUAGGAAGAAUAAAUGACGGUACUAUUUGUAAGGUCCGGCUAACUACGUGCCAGCAGCCGCGGUAAUACGUAGGGACCAAGCGUUGUUCGGAUUUACUGGGCGUAAAGGGCGCGUAGGCGGCAAUUCAAGUCAGCUGUGAAAUCUCCGGGCUUAACUCGGAACGGUCAGCUGAUACUGCUUUGCUAGAGUGCAGAAGGGGCAAUCGGAAUUCUUGGUGUAGCGGUGAAAUGCGUAGAUAUCAAGAGGAACACCUGAGGAGAAGACGGGUAGCUGGGCUGACACUGAC